GCUAGAGUUCAGGGGGAGGAAGGGAGAGAGCUGGAGCUGCUAGCCAGACAAGACAGGGCCUCUGGGCAUCAGGAUUCAGUGGGAGUGUGGGGACUUCAGGCGCACUUGAAGAGCCUCCAUUUACAAAGCACCUUGUCUCUGGUUUGUGCAAUUGAGCAUUGGGACAACCCUACGAGGAUGGCAGGGCAGAUGAUUUCCGUUUUACAGGUCCAGGCUCCCAGUGUCUCUCAGCCCCGCAGCGGCUGACUUCUACCAGAGACCCCACCCGCCGAGUGACAACAGCCAUCUUCUACAAACACAGACCUGACUCCACCCCUCCCUGCUUCAGACCCUCUACUGGGGCCCAGACCUCUCCGGACAGGACUGAACCCCCUGAUGUGUCUUCGUUGGCCUUCCGGCCUUUGCUUCCUGUGCUCCAGUCACCCUGGCCUUCUUGGAUUCCGUGGGCAUCUAGAACUUGCCAUGUUCCCCUCUGCCCCAGAGCCUCUGUAUAUGUGGUACCAUGACACUCACUGCAAACCCCCACCCUGCCACCUACCCCUUACCUAAGGUGUCCCUAGCUCAUCUGCCAACCUCUUCAGGACAGCCUUACUGGGCCCCCAGGUCUAGACUCCUUGGGGUACCUGCUACUGAGAGCGCCAUGUUCCUUUCCUUCAUGACCUUUACAGCCGCAAUGACGUGUUUAUUUAUGUGAUUUCAAGUCUGUCUCUACCAGACAUAAGCUCCAUGAGGGCAGUCACUGACUGGCCAGGCCCCAGAGCAAAGUGCUUGACAGAUAAAUAUGGUUGAAUGAGCAAUUCUGGAUCCUUUCUCUGUCCAAGCCACACUCUGUCCAAAGGGGUGCUCUGCCCAGGACUGGUGCAAGUGAGAAGACUGGGAUCCCCCAUCCCCACUCAACCCCAACCCCCAGAAACUCCAGAAUCCUAGGUUUGCCAGGAAGACUUUGUGGCUGAGGUAGAACAGGAAGACACCAGACACCUGUGGCCAAGGCUUCUCUGUGG